CCCAUCUGCUCGAUUCCAGCUCCCCCUUUCACUCUCUAGCGCCGCAGCCGGGCGUCCGAAGUUUUCUUUUGCUUCCUCUGCAUAUCCACCAUCGUCUCCUUGGGGAUUCCGUCCGUGCGCGCCGACGUCGCUAACCCUAUCUACGUUUGCCAGUCGCCAGGCGCACUGGCAGUGCAACAGCUGCUCUGUCGAGGAGGGCUAGAUGUGGCGCGGAUAUGGAGGUCGAAGGGCCAGAUGGUGGAGCCGCUCCAGCGACGGCGAUGGCGCUGACACAUGCCGUAUGGUAUAUGGACGAUGGGCUAGUGGUGCCCAUCACGCUUCCUCACUCUCAUAUGCAGUGAGUGCAAGCAGCAACAUUGGCCAAGUCCACCCAUAUCUAUUUACUCAUCGGCGAGCACAAUUUUCAGGUAGUACGGUGUGCCCACCCGCAGUUAAGCGUACGGCAGGUAGCACAACCAGACAGGGGUGAUCCGCGCUCUGGCUCGUCCAAUGGCAUCCAUCGGAGUCUAGGUGCCCAAGGCGUGAACAUUUUUCGUUGCCCCAGCAUCCUCACUAAAAGUGAGGCAGCUACGGGCAAGUUUGAAGUCUGGUACACAAAAGAGGAAAAGUGCAGCCUACAUUGAUUGGAGAGAGAAACACUUGCAUUGAAAGGAGGGGGAUGAUUUUUUUAGAGAAGAUUGGGUGGUCCUGGAAGGGGAAAGUGAAAGGGGGCAACCGGAAGUACCCGGUGGCCAACCAGACCACAUGGGUGUAGAAGAGAGUCAAAUUAGGCCAGGAGAGCCAGUCAAACCGAGUUUUACAGGGCUAUAGCUAGGCUUUUCAGGGUCUAGAAAAGCCCACCCCAAACCCAUGCAUGUAUAUGGCUAGGAAUGGGCCACGUCGCUAGGAAAGUGAAAAAUGUGAUAUCUACAGUGCCCUGAGCUCUCUCAGCGCAUGAAACUGUUCAGCCUUUAUAUAG